UGUCUUCCCUGUCGAGUACGGUGCAGCCCCAGUGGCGGAUAAGAUUUCUGAAGAAGAGUCUUUAAGCAGUAUUUCCAUUAAACCUGGUACUGAUGAUUCAUGGCUUACAUCAGAUGCUGAAGACUUAAAUUUUGGUAUCCAGGUAAAGUACUCUCUUGUGAAAUUUGUUUUCCUGCUCUGAAUUUAGUUUGCAUAUUAUUUACUCUUAAAAUUUAGCAGUGGCCUACCUAUUAUCAUUUUAUGUUUGUGAUGGAAAGUUGGUCAUAACAAACCAUUUUGUAGAAAUAUGAUGAGUUGAAUUUUUUUUUUUUUUUUUUUACUCUGGUAAAUACUGAAGGUGGAGGCUGAAAAAAAUGGGCUGGAAAAUACAUAAUGACAGGAUAAUUAUAUUGGGAAAAGCUUUUCCACAAUGGAGGAAAUAAGAUACUUGGUGAAGGAUAACGAUUCUUACUGUGAGUUUUAAAUUAUCUUAACAUGACCUUUCUUUCUUUCUUUCAUUCUUUCUUUCUUAAUAUGACGUUUAUACUCAUGCCUAAAUGAAAUCUUCAUUGGAUUCAAUUAUUGCGGAGAUUUUUUUUCUUGGACGUUUUUUACCUUGGUAACAUAUUGUUUUAAAAAAGACUUUUUUCUCUAUUUCUAUCCUUUGUUCUACAUUUAGACUAAAAUAAUAUUAGAAAUUGUGGAAAUUCAGAAAUGUAAAUUGUUUCUCAAAAUUUAUAUUGCAAAGGUAUUCCACUGUUUUCAAAAUAAUUCCAUUAAGAGUAUA
rnacentral:lncRNA from 1 species